rnacentral:rRNA from 1 species
AGAGUUUGAUCAUGGCUCAGAUUGAACGCUGGCGGCAGGCUUAACACAUGCAAGUCGAGCGGAGACUUCGGUCUUAGCGGCGAACGGGUGAGUAAUACCUAGGAAUCUGCCUAUUAGUGGGGGAUAACGGCUCGAAAGGGUCGCUAAUACCGCAUGCGUCCUACGGGAGAAAGUGGGGGAUCUUCGGACCUCACGCUAAUAGAUGAGCCUAGGCCGGAUUAGCUAGUUGGUAGGGUAAAGGCCUACCAAGGCGACGAUCCGUAGCUGGUCUGAGAGGAUGAUCAGCCACACUGGAACUGAGACACGGUCCAGACUCCUACGGGAGGCAGCAGUGGGGAAUAUUGGACAAUGGGCGCAAGCCUGAUCCAGCCAUGCCGCGUGUGUGAAGAAGGCCUUCGGGUUGUAAAGCACUUUAAGCGAGGAGGAAGGUCUUUGAACUAAUAUUUCAAAGAAUUGACGUUACUCGCAGAAUAAGCACCGGCUAACUCUGUGCCAGCAGCCGCGGUAAUACAGAGGGUGCAAGCGUUAAUCGGAAUUACUGGGCGUAAAGCGCGCGUAGGCGGUAUGUUAAGUCGGAUGUGAAAUCCCUGGGCUCAACCUAGGCAUUGCAUCCGAUACUGGCACACUAGAGUGUGGGAGAGGAAGGUAGAAUUCCAGGUGUAGCGGUGAAAUGCGUAGAGAUCUGGAGGAAUACCGAUGGCGAAGGCAGCCUUCUGGCCUAACACUGACGCUGAGGUGCGAAAGCAUGGGGAGCAAACAGGAUUAGAUACCCUGGUAGUCC